CAUCUAGACUCAGCGGCGGGCGAUCCCAUCCAAGCACCCUGAGAUCUCGGUGUUGAGAAAGAGGGGGUACAGGAGGCGGGGAGGAGGGUGAGGAGGACUGCAGAGCUCAGGCGCUGAGCUGUGCACUGGAGGGGGGAGGGAUGGGAGCUCCCUUCCAGCCUUGGGGGUCUGGGGACUCAGGGAUGUAAGGCGAGAGCAGGGGGGUGUGACAAUUCAGCAGAGGUCGGGACGUACCACGGAGCCCAGUGGCGGGGGGGGGGCAGAGGACGUGGUCAUCAAGGGGAGCCCCCGCCCGCCUUCGCAAAGGCCUACGCCUGAGGUUGCAGGGAGAACUGGAACUGGGCUCCCGGUAGGGGGAAGCGGUGUAUUAAAUCCGCCCCCUACUCAUACCCCACUUCCGAGGGGGUGGACGAUAGAGGGAGGUUGGGGUUGGAGCAGCGGCGAGGGGGCCCCUCCCUAGCACCUCCCCCCACCGGACUUGGUCGCGCCCGAAGUGUAACACUUUCUCUUUGUCGGAGGAGCUCCGCUGUUUCCUGUGCUGUAGCUCCCGUUGCAGCGGCGCCCGUGGCAGCCCUGGCGGACGCAGGAGCGAUGGCAGCGACCGAUAUAGCUCGCCAGGUGACCAGAAGUUCGAUUGCAAAGGGAGGGGAUGAUUCCAUUUGGGGGAACAAUCUAGCCUUUCUAUUCAUCCAUGGCUAUCUGGGAUUUUAAGAAGCCCACAAUUACCAGCACCCUGAGAUGAGGAAGGAGAGAAAAGCAGAGAGUGGAGAUAACAAUGGCCAGAACACUGAGAAAACUCUGUUUAAAGAGCCUGGC
rnacentral:lncRNA from 1 species